rnacentral:rRNA from 1 species
UACGGAGGGUGCAAGCGUUAUCCGGAUUUACUGGGUUUAAAGGGUGCGUAGGUGGAUAAGAAAGUCAGUGGUGAAAUCUUCGGGCUUAACCCGGAAACUGCCGUUGAUACUAUUUAUCUUGAAUACUUUGGAGGUAAGCGGAAUAUGUCAUGUAGCGGUGAAAUGCUUAGAUAUGACAUAGAACACCAAUUGCGAAGGCAGCUUACUACACAGUAAUUGACACUGAGGCACGAAAGCGUGGGGAUCAAACAGG